GACGAACGCUGGCGGCGUGCUUAACACAUGCAAGUCGAACGGAAAGGCGCUGCUUUUGUUGCGUGCUCGAGUGGCGAACGGGUGAGUAACACGUGAGUAUCCUCCCCUUGUCUGUGGGAUAACUUCUGGAGACUCGGGCUAAUACAGGGUAGAAGAUCCUGCUGCAUAUGGUUGAUUGGAAAGUUUCGGCGGUGGGGGAUGGUCUCGAGGCUUAUCAGCUUCUUGGUGUGGUAGUGGCUUACCAAGGGUUUGACGGGUAGCCGGCCUGAGAGGGUGAACGGCGACAUUGGGACUGAGAGACGGCGCAGACGGCUACGGGAGGCAGCAGUGGGGAAUAUUGCACAAUGGGCGGAAGCCUGAUGCAGCAACGUUGCGUGCGGGAUGAUGGCCUUCGGGUGGUAAACCGCUGUCGCCUGUGACGAAGAGGGAGUGACGGUAACGGGUAAAGAAGCACCGGCUAACUACGUG
rnacentral:rRNA from 1 species